GGGGUAUGGGAGCUUGCUUUCCAGAGACCGGCGCACGGGUGAGUAACGCGUAUGCAACCUGCCUUUUACUGGGGGAUAGCCCAAAGAAAUUUGGAUUAAUACCGCAUAAUAUAAUUGAACCGCAUGGUUUGGUUAUUAAAGCUUCGGUGGUAAAAGAUGGGCAUGCGUAGCAUUAGUUUGUUGGUGAGGUAACGGCUCACCAAGACUAUGAUGCUUAGGGGGUCUGAGAGGAUAGUCCCCCACACUGGUACUGAGACACGGACCAGACUCCUACGGGAGGCAGCAGUGAGGAAUAUUGGUCAAUGGGCGCAAGCCUGAACCAGCCAUGUCGCGUGCAGGAUGACGGCCCUAUGGGUUGUAAACUGCUUUUUUACAGGAAUAAACUUUACUACGUGUAGUGAACUGAAGGUACUGUAAGAAUAAGGAUCGGCUAACUCCGUGCCAGCAGCCGCGGUAAUACGGAGGAUCCAAGCGUUAUCCGGAUUUAUUGGGUUUAAAGGGUCCGUAGGCGGGCUUUUAAGUCAGUGGUGAAAUCCCGGAGCUCAACUCCGGAACUGCCAUUGAUACUGAAGGCCUUGAAUUUAGUUGAGGUGGGCGGAAUACGUUAUGUAGCGGUGAAAUGCAUAGAUAUAACGUAGAACACCGAUUGCGAAGGCAGCUCACUAAGCUAACAUUGACGCUGAUGGACGAAAGCGUGGGGAGCGAACAGGAUUAGAUACCCUGGUAGUCCACGCC
rnacentral:rRNA from 1 species